rnacentral:rRNA from 1 species
UACGAAGGGAGCUAGCGUUGUUCGGAAUCACUGGGCGUAAAGCGCACGUAGGCGGAUGUGUCAGUCAGGGGUGAAAUCCCGGAGCUCAACUUCGGAACUGCCCUUGAUACAGCACGUCUUGAGUCCGGAAGAGGUGGGUGGAAUUCCUAGUGUAGAGGUGAAAUUCGUAGAUAUUCGGAAGAACACCAGUGGCGAAGGCGACUCACUGGACACAUAUUGACGCUGAGGUGCGAAAGCGUGGGGAGCAAACAGG